UACGUAGGGUGCGAGCGUUAAUCGGAAUUACUGGCGUAAAGGCGUGCGCAGGCGGUUGUGUAAGACAGAUGUGAAAUCCCCGGGCUCAACCUGGGAACUGCAUUUGUGACUGCACAGCUGGAGUGCGGCAGAGGGGGAUGGAAUUCCGGCGUGUAGCAGUGAAAUGCGUAGAUAUGCGGAGGAACACCGAUGGCGAAGGCAAUCCCCUGGGCCUGCACUGACGCUCAUGCACGAAAGCGUGGGGAGCAAACAGG
rnacentral:rRNA from 1 species